rnacentral:rRNA from 1 species
UACAGAGGGGGCAAGCGUUGUUCGGAAUUACUGGGCGUAAAGCGCACGUAGGCGGCUAUUCAAGUCGGGGGUGAAAGCCCGGGGCUCAACCCCGGAACUGCCCUCGAAACUAGAUAGCUAGAAUCUUGGAGAGGUCAGUGGAAUUCCGAGUGUAGAGGUGAAAUUCGUAGAUAUUCGGAAGAACACCAGUGGCGAAGGCGACUGACUGGACAAGUAUUGACGCUGAGGUGCGAAAGCGUGGGGAGCAAACAGG